AUUUUCAGAGUUUAUAUUUUAUUCACCGCUUUAGCAGCCUCCGCCAACGCUGAUAUCCUAGACGUGUCUGAGUCAUGGCUUAGGAAGGCCACCAAAAAUCCUGAAUUCCAUCCCUAACUAUAACAUCUUCCGACAAGAUGGCACUGCCGAAGGGGGCGGAGUUCUAUCUACUGCAGAGUUCUGUCAUACUAUCCACGUCUGUGCCCAAACAAUUCAAGCUUCUACUUUUAAAAAUCCACCUUUCCAGAAAAGUCUCUCACCGUUGCCGCUUCUUAUAGACCUCCUUCAGCCCCCAGCUGUGCCCUGGACAACAUAUGUGAAUUGAUCGCCCCCUCAUCCAUCUUCAUAGUCCGUACGAGUUAGGUGACCUAAACUGGGACAUGCUUAACACCCCGGCCAUCCUACAAUCUACGCUAGAUGCCCUCAAUCUCACACAAAUUAUCAAGGAACCUACCAGGUACAACCCUAAAUCCGUAACCAUGGGCACCCUCUUAGAUAUCAUCCUGACCAAUUUGCCCUUUAAAUACAACUCUGCUGUCUUCAACCAAGAUCUCAGCGAUCACUGCCUCAUUGCCUGUGUGGGUGAUGGGUCCGCGGUCAAAUGACUACCCCUCAUCAGUCAAACGCUCCCUAAAACACUUCACCGAGCAGGCCUUUCUAAUCGACCUGGCCUGGGUAUCCUGGAAGGAUAUUGAUCUCAUCCCGGGAUCUGAAAGGUUGCUUUCUGUGUGCAAAGGUUGCUGAGGUCUGGGGAGGACGAGGUUGGCUGGGGCAAGUGGAAGUGUGAACACGUACCCCUCAUGGAUUUGGGACGCCGGCUGGGCCAUUUGGGACGCCGGCUGCGUCAUUGAGGCAGUAUUUUGUUUGUGUGAUUGGUGUGGUGUUCCAGGGUCCUUGUUGGUCCCUGGGUUUUAUGGGGUGGAGUGUGACGACCCUCCCACUCUGUCUGCCAAAUUCUCUCUUUGCUCUUGUUUUCCUAAAUUAGGAUGUCGGUGGACGGAGCUGGGAGGGUCAUCAGUGAAAUGGGACAUACCUGUCCCGGGAUAAAUACACCUUUUCCCCAUUCAUUGAGGAGACUCUCUCCAUGCAGACACACUUUUUGGUUGUGGCAUUUUUGUGGCCGGUUUUGUUUGCGUGAUUUGGCAUCUUUCAACACUCCUCGUUAUCACAUCUAUACAUGCAACCACUCACACUACUGAUUACUGACUACACACACCAUUGUUUAUUUGUACAUAGGUUACCUCCGUUAAUAAAUAUAUUUUUUUGUUAUUCCUUA
ensembl:lncRNA